rnacentral:rRNA from 1 species
GACGAACGCUGGCGGCGUGCUUAACACAUGCAAGUCGAACGGAAAGGCCCUGCUUUUGUGGGUUGCUCGAGUGGCGAACGGGUGAGUAACACGUGAGUAACCUGCCCUUGACUUUGGGAUAACUUCAGGAAACUGGGGCUAAUACCGGAUAGGAGCUCCUGCGGCAUGGUGGGGGUUGGAAAGUUUCGGCGUUUGGGGAUGGACUCGCGGCUUAUCAGCGUGUUGGUGGGGUAGUGGCUUACCAAGGCUUUGACGGGUAGCCGGCCUGAGAGGGUGACCGGCCACAUUGGGACUGAGAUACGGCCCAGACUCCUACGGGAGGCAGCAGUGGGGACUAUUGCACAAUGGGCGGAAGCCUGAUGCAGCAACGCCGCGUGGGGGAUGACGGUCUUCGGGUUGUAAACCGCUUUCGCCUGUGACGAAGCGUGAGUGACGGUAAUGGGUAAAGAAGCACCGGCUAACUACGUG